CUACAACAGAAGCAACAACAACAACAAGAAUAAGGCCAGCUAAUUGUCAGGCAUUGAAAUAGAAUGACACUGGGGUAGACAGCCCAGAACGGUACGGGACGAAACCAGACGGGACAGACAUCAGACGUUGAAAAGGGUAGACCGUUCAGAUUACUCCUAUAGCUGGGUCUGGCAAUAAAGGCCAGGCGCUAAAAAAGGCAAGACCGUUUCUGUGCCAGCGAAACUCAGUUGAAAUGGAGAGGAAAACCCAGUAUAACUUAUCAGUUAUGGCCGAAGAGGUGCAUACACUUUAUCGCACAUAGACUAAGAAUUCUGAAUUCCUUUUGAUUAAGGUUACAAAUAUAUGAUCUUCAGAAGUG
rnacentral:lncRNA from 1 species